rnacentral:rRNA from 1 species
CAGCAGCCCGGUAAUACCGGCGGCCCGAGUGGCGGUCACUAUUAUUGGGCUUAAAGCGUCCGUAGCCGGGUUGGGAAGUCCUCCGGGAAAUCUGGCCGCUUAACGGUCAGAAUGCCGGGGGAUACUCCCAGCCUAGGGAGCGGGAGAGGCCGCGGGGAUUCCCGGAGUAGGGGUGAAAUCCUAUAAUCCCGGGAGGACCACCUGUGGCGAAGGCGCUCGGCUGGAACGCGUCCGACGGUGAGGGACGAAGGCCAGGGGAGCAAACCGGAUUAGAUACCCGGGUAGUCCUGGCUGUAAACGAUGCGGACUUUGUGUCGGACAAGCUAUGAGCUUGUCCGGUGCCGGAGGGAAACCGUUAAGUCCGCCGCCUGGGGAGUACGGCCGCAAGGCUGAAACUUAAAGGAAUUGGCGGG